AUCUCUAGAGCUUAUUCAACGAGCAUUCGGAGAUUGACUGACGCAUAAGGAUUAAUUUUUAGUUUACAUUCAAGUUAUUCCUAUUUAAAAAUUUAAAUUAAAAAAAACAUAAAAUUAAAAAUAAAAAAAAUUAAAUUUUUUUUUGCUUGCUCAUUUAAUCAGUACAACCUAAUGACAUUCCAUAAACUUUAAAAAAAUUUAUUGAAUAUUUGCUGCAUUUAGUAUUAAGCAUUUGCAUAAAAUAAU
rnacentral:lncRNA from 1 species